AGAGCGGUAUGGAUAGUCGCUGCUGCAUGAAAAUUGCAGGAGAGGAAAGUCCGGGCUUCACAGGGCAGGAUGCCUGAUAACGUCAGGUGGGCGUGAGCCUAAGGAAAGUGCAACAGAAAGGAUACCGCCCGUAUGCAUUUACGGGUAAGGGUGAAAUGGCGGUGUAAGAGACCACCGGCAGUCCGGUAACGGAGUGCGCAUUGUAAACCCCAUCCGAAGCAAGGCCGCGAAGAAGCGAUAUGGCUGCCCGCCAUGCUUCGGGUAGGCCGCUUGAGGCCUAUGGUGACAUAGGUCCUAGAUAGAUGACUAUCCGCGACAUAACCCGGCUUACAGUACCGCUCAUAUU
rnacentral:RNase_P_RNA from 1 species